GCACAAGCGGUGGAGCAUGUGGUUUAAUUCGAAGCAACGCGAAGAACCUUACCAGGUCUUGACAUCCCCUGACAACCCAAGAGAUUGGGCGUUCCCCUUCGGGGGACAGGGUGACAGGUGGUGCAUGGUUGUCGUCAGCUCGUGUCGUGAGAUGUUGGGUUAAGUCCCGCAACGAGCGCAACCCUCGCCUCUAGUUGCCAGCAUUCGGUUGGGCACUCUAGAGGGACUGCCGGCGACAAGUCGGAGGAAGGUGGGGAUGACGUCAAAUCAUCAUGCCCCUUAUGACCUGGGCUACACACGUGCUACAAUGGGCGGUACAAAGGGCUGCGAACCCGCGAGGGGGAGCGAAUCCCAAAAAGCCGCUCUCAGUUCGGAUUGCAGGCUGCAACUCGCCUGCAUGAAGCCGGAAUCGCUAGUAAUCGCGGAUCAGCAUGCCGCGGUCGAAUACGUUCCGGGCCUU
rnacentral:rRNA from 1 species